GAGGCGGCUGCACUCGCUCGACUUCUCGUUCCCUUCCCGGCGCCGCUGCGGGUCCGUCUCUGCGCUUCCUGCUCCCCGGCCGCUCGGUUGCACGCCGCCGGAGCAGCCGCCCUUCGUUCGAGUCCCGGCUCGGUUCGGAAGUCGUGCGCGCCCGCAGACACCGCGCGCAGGGCUAGCCGGCGCCACACCUGUGGAGCCGGCGGCCGUCGCGGGAGCCGGCCGGGGUCCCGCCGCGUGCGUGCUCGGGGCUGCGGGCCGCCGGGGCCCCGGGGGAGGCGCGCCCCCCGUCUGGGCGCCGCAGACACCAUGGGGCUGCCCGCGCUCGAAUUCAGCGACUGCUGCCUCGACAGCCCGCACUUCCGAGAGACGCUCAAGUCACACGAAGCGGAGCUGGACAAGACCAACAAAUUCAUCAAGGAGCUCAUCAAGGACGGGAAGUCACUCGUCAGCGCGCUCAAGAAUUUGUCUUCAGCGAAGCGGAAAUUUGCAGAUUCCUUAAAUGAAUUUAAGUUUCAGUGCAUAGGAGAUGCAGAAACAGAUGAUGAAAUGUGCAUAGCAAGGUCUUUGCAGGAGUUUGCCACUGUCCUCAGGAAUCUCGAAGAUGAACGGAUACGGAUGAUUGAGAAUGCCAGCGAAGUGCUCAUCACUCCCUUGGAGAAAUUUCGAAAGGAGCAGAUUGGGGCUGCCAAGGAAGCCAAAAAGAAGUAUGACAAGGAGACAGAGAAGUAUUGCGGUAUCUUAGAAAAACACUUGAAUUUGUCUUCCAAAAAGAAAGAAUCUCAGCUGCAGGAGGCAGACAGCCAAGUGGACCUGGUCCGGCAGCAUUUCUAUGAAGUAUCCCUGGAGUAUGUCUUCAAGGUGCAAGAAGUCCAAGAGAGAAAGAUGUUUGAGUUUGUGGAGCCUCUACUGGCAUUCCUACAAGGACUCUUCACUUUCUAUCACCAUGGUUAUGAACUGGCCAAGGACUUCAACGACUUCAAGACGCAGUUGACUAUCAGCAUACAGAACACAAGAAAUCGCUUUGAAGGCACCAGGUCAGAAGUGGAAUCCCUGAUGAAGAAGAUGAAAGAGAAUCCCCUCGAGCACAAGACCAUCAGUCCCUACACCAUGGAAGGGUACCUCUACGUCCAGGAGAAACGUCAUUUUGGAACUUCCUGGGUGAAGCACUACUGUACAUAUCAACGGGAUUCCAAACAAAUCACCAUGGUACCAUUUGACCAAAAGUCAGGAGGAAAGGGGGGAGAAGAUGAAUCAGUCACCCUCAAAUCCUGCACACGGCGGAAAACGGACUCUAUUGAGAAGCGGUUUUGCUUUGACGUGGAAGCAGUAGACAGGCCCGGAGUUAUCACCAUGCAGGCAUUGUCUGAAGAGGACCGGAGGCUCUGGAUGGAAGCCAUGGAUGGAAGGGAACCUGUCUACAACUCGAACAAAGACAGCCAGAGCGAAGGGACUGCACAGUUGGACAGCAUUGGCUUCAGCAUCAUCAGGAAAUGCAUCCACGCUGUGGAAACCAGAGGGAUCAAUGAGCAAGGGCUCUACCGAAUCGUGGGGGUCAAUUCCAGAGUGCAGAAGCUGCUGAGUAUCCUGAUGGACCCCAAAACAGCUUCUGAAACAGAAACGGAUAUCUGCGCCGAGUGGGAGAUAAAGACCAUCACUAGUGCUUUGAAAACCUACCUAAGAAUGCUUCCAGGACCACUCAUGAUGUACCAGUUUCAAAGAAGUUUCAUCAAAGCAGCAAAGCUGGAGAACCAGGAGUCACGGGUCUCUGAAAUCCACAGCCUUGUUCAUCGGCUCCCAGAGAAAAAUAGGCAGAUGUUACAGCUGCUCAUGAACCACUUGGCAAACGUUGCUAACAACCACAAGCAGAAUUUGAUGACGGUGGCAAACCUUGGCGUGGUGUUCGGACCCACCCUGCUGCGUCCUCAGGAAGAAACGGUAGCAGCCAUCAUGGAUAUCAAGUUUCAGAACAUUGUCAUUGAGAUCCUAAUAGAAAAUCAUGAAAAGAUAUUUAACACCGUGCCGGAUGUGCCCCUCACCAAUGCCCAGCUGCACCUGUCUCGGAAGAAGAGCAGUGACUCCAAGCCCCCAUCCUGCAGCGAGAGGCCCCUGACGCUCUUCCACACCAUGCAGUCAACAGAGAAACAGGAACAGAGAAACAGCCUCAUCGACUCCAGUUUGGAAUCUGUCGUCUCAUCAAACGCAAACAGCAUCCUUAAUUCUAGCAGCAGCUUACAGCCCAACAUGAACUCCAGUGACCCAGACCUGGAUGUGCUCAAACCCACCCGGCCCAACUCACUCCCCCCGAAUCCAAGCCCAACUUCACCCCUCUCGCCAUCUUGGCCCAUGUUUUCGGCGCCAUCCAGCCCUAUGCCCACCUCAUCCACGUCCAGCGACUCAUCCCCCAUCAGGUCUGUUGCAGGGUUUGUUUGCUUUUCUGUUGCUGCUGUUGUUCUCUCAUUGGCUUGGUCCUCUCUUCAUGCAGUGUUCAGCCUCCUCGUCAACUUUGUUCCCUGCCAUCCAAACCUGCACUUGCUUUUUGACAGGCCAGAAGAAGCGGUUCGUGAAGACUCCAGCACACCGUUCCGGAAGGCAAAAGCCUUAUAUGCCUGCAAAGCGGAACACGACUCAGAGCUCUCAUUCACGGCAGGGACGGUCUUCGAUAAUGGUGAGUUUCUCCAAUAAAUCACUGGAGUUGUCAAAGUUCCUUUCUACCUAAGGAAAAUCUCAACAGAACAGUGCAUCCAUCUCAGGAGCCUGGCUGGUUGGAGGGGACUCUGAAUGGAAAGACGGGCCUCAUCCCCGAGAACUACGUGGAGUUCCUCUAACCAUGGGCCCUGGCAGAACUGCUGAGCUUUUCAUGGUGUCCAUGACAACGGCUGAUUCCAUUGUUGUGGGCCAUUGCUCUUCGCCGCUGAGAAGUGCAGGGUGACUGACUCUGCUGCUACCUGUCAACACGAAUGUUUCUGUGAACUCUGGUGUCACCCAUCCCCAUGAUAAUCUCAGCUGACGUGCGGUGAUACUGCAAGAAACAGAAGUAAAUCAGCGGAGGAGGCCGUUUGAUUUUGAUAACAAGAAAGGCUUACAAAGCCAUUUCUCUCAUUUAGCACCCUACGUGGGGUGCUCAUUUUGUUUCAGUAGUCACCCAAACCCCAACCUUCUGAUAAAGGAAGGAAGUGAGAUGUAAGCAGUCCCCAGAAGGUUGCAGUAUAGCUGGCUCUGACAGGGCUGGGCAGUGGCCUGAGAUCCAGUCUGGAUCCACAGCUAUUGUUUACAGUAGACACUCUCUCUACCCCACCUCUAAAUACUUGAGACCUGCCGUGAUAUAGGCGGCUGGGUCUGUUUGUUUGCAUGCAGGAUGGAGAAGGGUUAUGGCGCUGUUUACAUAAGAUCCAGUCUCUCACCAUCUCUCAAGCAGCCACUGUCCCAGCACCGGCAGAAUUCUGUCCAGUCCUCUCAUGCAGGGGAGCACACACCACCCCCAUGGCCCCCUUCCCAAGCUAGGAACAUGAUAUCCCAAGCUAGGAACUUCUCUGCCACCGAAGGCUGCCAUUGCCUCGUAACCACGGCAACCCAACCUACUCUAAAACCAAACCAAAAAAUAACACACUCUUUGCGUGACGUAUUUUUUUCUCCCUGCUUUUUGGCCGUUUUUUGAAUGGUUUUCCAACAACCUGAAGCCGAAGAUCAAGGUCUACUUGGGGGCAGAUAGAAUAGCAGCUGGGAACUGCUCCCUUUCUGAUGAAUUUCAGCAGCACUAGGAUAUAUUUGGAACAAACUCUAGUAACCUCUUGAGAUUAAAUUACAUACAGGCUUAAUAUUUCUGUUCUUCCAUGCAACUAGUGUCUGCUUUCUUAGAGGGCAACGUGCUGCCUCCCAAAGGGGAAUACCCUCCCUCUGACUCACUCCCUCCCGUUCACCUGUCCCUUCCCCUGUCCUUGCCUGCCUGUAGCCCUUCACUGACGAGCCCCCUGGCAGUGCCCCGGGCUGCUCAGCACUGGUGCCCUGGCAGCUUUCAGGCAUGAUUCCUGGACUAACCCCAUGGCCUCUAGUUUAAAAGGACAUACAUGUUCACUGCCACUCAGAAAAAGGGAAUUGUUUCUCAGGCUUUUGAGGCAUGAGACUAAUAGCAUAAGCCAUUGUGAUUCAGGAGGACACCAGAAGGUUGGGGCAUGGAAGGUGGGAUGGGUACCUUCUGAGAAAGAGAAUUUCCUGGUCCAGAAGGGGCUGGGGCAUGUGGAAGACUGCCUUGGGUGGGGAAGUUUGGCCUGGACAUUUCAAAUUCACUUGGCUUUCCAAAGAAGAGAGUUCCGGUAUUUCCACACUUGAAUGUCCUUGCAAGAGUGAUUCUGGGCAGACAAACUCCGAAGUGAGGGACUGUCAAGCUCUCCAGGACAGGAGCCCCUCGGGAUGGUGGCGUUGUUCCAGAGUGUGUCCUGCUUCUGGAAUUCCUCUUGAGGGAACUUUAAAGAGGAAAAGAAAAACUUGAAUUGUGUUGAAUUACUGUAUCUUUUACUUUUUUUUUUUUUUGAAAAGAUAAACGUGUAAAUAGAGUGAUUUGAAAUACUAUAUGGCAAAGUUUUAUAUUUGAUAUUCUAUAAGCUAGUUGCUUCACACAUUUAAGCUUUGAUUGCUGAACAGGUGUGUAUACGAGGGAGAGAGGGGACACAAGGUCGAAGAGAGUCAAGAUCAUCCCUUCUCUGGCCUUGAGGAAGGAGAAGAUAUUUCCACACACUCUGCUGGCUCUUGUUGGUGGGCGUGACACGUUAAUGGUGUUCAGUCUUCUUUAUCCAGAUGUGGUUUUUUUGAGCAUUUCUUGGGCUUUGGAUUUGGAGAUGGAAGGAGCAUCUUCAGGCAAUGAACUUUUCCGAGAACUCCUACCCAGUAGUAAGAUGAAGCUCAGGAUUUAAACAGGUGAGGCCAGGGGUUAGAUUUUUUUGUUUGUUUCAUUUUUCUUCUCAGGUGUAUUUCUUGAUACCCCAAGGUACCAGGACAGAAGACGGGAUAAUUGCAUGCUCCUUGUAUCUUACUCUUCCGCACAUCUUCUAAGGCUUUAUAAAGGAGUCCAAGCUAGUUUGCAAAUGUGUGUGUCUAAGUUCCAAGAAAACCUGGCCUCUUAGGAUCUUUCGUUCUUGACAUGCUGCUUCUUCCCCUUCCCCUAAACAUGUUUAUUCAUCUCAGAUUCCCUAUAGCUCCAAAAUAAGACAAAGAAAAACCUCCAAAGAGGGGUGGAGAUUGAGCUGUUAUAGCUUUCUAGAUGACUUCAAAGUUAAUAGGAGUUUGUCAUUGUGAUUCAUUCCAUCAGCUCAAGGAUGACACAGCUAUUACCCAGGAGCUCACCCAGCAGUGAGCGAGGCACCACCACCGAAUCAGGGAACAAGAAUUAAGACUGGAGAAGACCGAGAUGGGACUCAGGAAAGCUAUCAUUGAAAACCCAAGAAGAAAGGGCACAUAUGAGCAGGCUAUAUGAGCAGGCUAUACCUACUCCCUGCGGACUUUGAACAGCUUGGGGACCUGUUCAAAGGGGCUAGAGGGACAAGCACACUCUAUACCACUGUGCUUUCCAAAUAGAGUGCAACAUAAUGCUUUUAACACAUUGGACAUUUGAAAUCACCACCUGCCCCAUUGGAACCUUGACUAGAGCUAACGUGGGGACGGUCGCAAGUCCCAGGCCCUGGAUUUGGAAGUUCCUGAAGCUUACCUGCCGACACUUGGCCCCAGCUUGACCACUUGGAGGCAUGUGCCUCCCUCUUCAUUCGCCUCUGAUCCAAAGGCGAGGGAAAUGGAGCUACUGCCGAUGGGAAUUUUAGGUAGACCCCUUCCCAGCUUCUCUGGGCCGUGCAGGGCCCUGACAGAUGGCUGCUCUGCUUCCUUGCCCUGGCCAGGCUCCCCUCCCUCCCAUCAUCUACAGAACUGGAGACACUGUUCAGGAUAUAAGCCGACAAAUAAGAAGGAACUUGAAGGCUGAAAAUAGGUUUUACCCUCCACUGUCUUUGCUCCCCACCUCUAACUCUGUCUUCUGGAAUAGGGAAUCUUAGGGCACAUUAGGGUAUCAGAGUGGAAUACUAUUGAGCAAAAUCCCUGAGCUUUCCCAGGAGCCUCGUGUUGCUUUUGGAAGGCCCUGGGAUCAGGUAGGCAGACAUAGCCUGAGUCUUUUGGGGGCAUCAAGAUCAGCCUCUCCCACCUCCUCCAGGUACUCAGCAGAGUUCUGUAGUUACAGAACGCCAUGCCUUGAGAAGACAACUAGUUUCACGUUCUUCCCCCACCGCCCAGGCAAGUAAAGUCCUGACUUGCUCAAGACUGAUGAUAUUCUCUUCUGUUUUCAAAUCUGAACAUAGAGGGAUGGAUAGCACUGUAUAGCACUGCUGGCCUUUCUAUCCUAGGACUGGAGCCAGUUUUUAGCUUAGUGUUUUAGUAUUUCUACAGCCAAUGUGUGUUUUCUUCUGUCACACCAAACUGGGGUUUGUUUGUUUGUUUCUUCAGCAUAAUUCCAGUUCAUGUCCUCUUGCUGAGUGCUUUUUGGAUAGAAAGGCAAAGAGAGGGAGAAUAAAUGAACAAUCAGGUAUUGGCCAACCGGCAUUAGCAACACAGAGUCAUGCUAGUGACAAGGUGAUUUCACUGUUUGCCAGGACUCUGCAGUUAUGUGUGUCAUACCUGUAGCUCACAGGGAAGUCCUUCUACCAUCAGAGUUUGUGUCUCUUGAAAACAGCAACCCCUGUCACACCAAAAGCUCUGUCUUGACUGUAUAGACUCUAAAAAACAUCCGUGAUUGUGGAGUGGGGAGACAGAAAUAAUCGACUGAACAUAACAUGAUCAGCUACUCAUGACUGUCUACUGGCACCUUUCAUCCUCUGGCUUCUGUUUCCAGAAGAAGCAAGUCUGGACCAUCCAUUUUUAUAGACCCAGGACUCCCAGGUACAGCAGUGGCCAUCAUGGCACUCACAGUUCGCCCUAGCAUCGAAUGUUUUAUGAGCAACCGUGUUACCCAAGUAGGUAGCCAGCCCUGAAGAAACUAAACAGCCACUUAGCUACCUGACUUUAAAAGGAAUGUCCUGGCUAUACUGUCUAGGGAGUUAAUCUGUCAUGACUGGCAAACUUGACAGUAAUCAUUUACCUAGACAGCCCUGCCCCACAUCUCUUUCAAGUCAACUGGGUGUCCUCUCACACACCCUGUGUCGGCGUUUAAAAAAUGUAUCUUAUCAUGCUCAGAUGUGUUUGGCAGCCAGGCUGGUGUACUGGGUGCUGAACCACUUUUCUUUAAAUGUAACCUCCAAAUGACAACAGCCAUAGAAUAAUGGACCUUGCACAAACCUACAGCAUGCCUGAGACCAGACUCCACCAAGUCAUAAUUAGCUUGUUUCCUUUCACCACCUACAGUACUUGUCUAACUAAAGAGCUUCCCAAAGCACAGGGAGAGGCCAUAUAGAGAAUUCAGACGUCAUUCAGAGCCAGCCCUGGCUAAAAUGUGAUCUCCUAAUGGAAGCACUUGUAUUCUUAGGAGAAAAAGGAUUGGGUAUAAAGUAAUGCUAAGAGCAGAAAGAGAAAGGCAAACCAUCCUGAAGAACUUUGGAUUUUUUAAAAGAGGGAUAAAUAUAGUUCUUAAUAGGGGGAAAAAUCUAUCACAUAAAAAGUUCACAGCUAAUUUUUUUACAGAAGUUUUACAGGACACUACAAGAUGAAAACCUUUUUCAGGGCAGAAUGCCUUAGAGAGCAAAGGCUUAGCACAGUCCUGGACCCGUGUAAGUAUAGGAAUUACUAUUACAUCAAAAUUCCAUUUAGUGUAGUCAGCGAGAACCAAGAGUAGUGAUAAAGUGUCAGAAUUACCUGGAGAGGCCAAGACAUUUGACAUCAGUCAUUUCUACAUCUACCAUUUCUACCAAAUUGUCCAAACAGACCCUACACGCAGCUUCCUUGGGUAUCCAGAUGCCAGGGUCAACCUUGAACCUGUGAAAAGAGGUUCAUCUGAUGAUUCUUAAGUGUAUACGUAUUAGUGUGUGUUUGUGUAUGUAUGUGUACAGCUCACAUUUACCUAUGUAAAGAUACAGACUGUCUUCUAGAAAAACCCGCCUAAGCUGGCGGUUGCUGAGCCUUGACAGCCUUUAAGAUUUGAAGUUGGAGAAUCAGAGAACCAAGAGAAGCUAUUGAUUAUCAGAAUGAGCAAAGAUGUAACUUAAGUGCCAUUUGAAAACUCUGUUCGUAUUUAUCAGAUGAUUACUAUCUAUAGCUCUAUUCCUUAUUAACUUAUUAAGAGUCAUGUUGAAAAAAAGAUCAAACUCAUAAACAAUUAGGGGUUCAUAGUAGGCUAGUGUUCACAAGCACUCUAAAAGACAUUUUGUCCAUAUUUUGGAGAAGAAAAUAUUUGCAUGUUUAAUUCACAACGUAGGCUGCCUUUGAGUGUAUUAUAAAGUGCUGUGUGAUGUAAUAUCAAUAAACUACUUAAAAAUGGCACUUUAAGGUUUUUUUUGAGAAACAUAAAUGCACUGUUUUAAACUUCGAUUCAGUAUUGAAUAUCGACUGGUGUGUGUAGAAUCCUAUUUCGUAAUUAAAAAGUAACUUGUGACUAGAAUAGAACUUUUUCCCUGUUAUUCAUAAAACAGUGUUGCCAUGUUCAGGCUUGAAAAGAAAAAAAAAUGUGCUUUUGUGUCACUAAGCAUAUCUGUAAAGAAAAUACAGUUUCUGUUGGGUGGCCUCUGAAACUUGGCUUUCUUACUUUCGGUUGGUUUAUGUGACAAUCCCUGUGAAACUAGUGGAAGUAUGAUUUUUGAAUUAAAUGACUUUUCCAUUUG